AUGGCGAGCCUGAGCGUGCCUCCGGUGCUCACGCCUCCGCGUGAUGACGCCGUCGCUCUCCACAAGGCCUUCAAAGGGUUCGGCUGCGACAGCACGACGGUGACUAACAUACUUGCUCACCGCGACUCGGCGCAGCGCGCGCUCAUCCUGCACGAGUACAAAGCCAUAUACCAUCAGGAUCUCUACCAUCGCCUAGCAACUGAACUGAGUGGAAACCACAAGAAUGCUAUGCUGCUUUGGGUCCUCGACCCCGUGGGGCGUGACGCGACCAUACUGAACCAGGCUCUCAACAGCGACAUCACCGACCUGAGAGCCGCCACGGAGGUAAUCUGCUCCAGGACGCCGUCGCAGCUGCAGAUCAUGAAGCAAACCUACCGCGCGAGGUUCGGUUGCUACCUCGAGCAUGACAUCACCGAACGCACCUACGGUGAUCAUCAGAAGCUUUUGCUUGCGUACCUGGGAGUCCGGCGCAACGAAGGCCCGGAAGUUGAUCCUUCGGCGGUGACAGACGACGCGAGGGAGCUGUAUCAAGCCGGCGAGAAGAGGGUGGGCACCGAUGAGCGGGCCUUCAUCCGCAUCUUCAGCGAACGCAGCUGGGCGCACAUGGUGUCCGUGGCCAACGCUUACCAGCACAUGUACGCCCGGUCCCUGGAGAAGGCCGUGAAGAGUGAGACGACAGGGAACUUCCAGUUCGGGCUGCUGACCAUCCUCAGGUGCGCCGACACUCCGGCAAAGUACUUUGCCAAGGUCCUGCACAAGGCGAUGAAAGGCCUGGGCACCAGCAACGCGGCGCUCACACGGGUGGCGGUGACGAGGACCGAGGUUGACAUGAAGUACAUCAAGGCAGAGUACCACAACAAGUACAAGGGGUCGCUGGCUGAAGCUAUCCACUCCGAGACGUCGGGGAACUACCGAACCUUCCUCCUCUCACUCGUCGGCUGGGACCGCUAA
rnacentral:rRNA from 1 species